CGCGUUUUCGGUUCCGAGACACAGCGUUAAGAGUUGGUGCAGCUGAGGGGCGCCCGGUGGCUCAGUCGGUUAAGCGACCGACUUCAGCUCGGGUCAUGAUCUCGCCAUCUAAUAAGGAAGUUUUCUCUUAUGAUACCUGUGACGUAUAGAAAUAUGAUAAAAUAUUCCUUUGCAAACAAAUUGAAACCUCUAACUUGUCUCCCUACAUGAACCCUCCAGAAUUCAGAAACUCUCAAGAGUGCACGCACAAAUGGGGGAGGAGCAGAGCGAGAAGAAGAGAGAGAAUCCCAAGCAGGCUCCAUGCUGUCAGUGGCAAGUCCAACGGAGGGCUCAGUCCUAUGAACCAUGAGAUCAUGACCUGAGCCAGAAAUCAAGAGUUGGACACCCAACCGACUGAGCCACCCAGGUGCCCCACAAUUUGUUUAAUUUUCCCUUUAUUUCUUUCAUUUGUCUAACUGCACUACUAUGGUUUUCUUUAUGUUAUUCAAUAUAGUAAUGAUAGUGAGCAUAGUUGUCUCAAUCCUGAUUUUAAUGUGAAUUAACCUGACAUUUCACUAUCAGGUGUGAUAAAUUUCUGUAAGCUUAUGGUAGAUUCCUUUUUUCAGGAAAGAAGUUUUCUUCUAUUCCUAAGUUGCUAUGAAUUGUGAUAGUAAACGUUGGAUUUCCCUAAUGCUUUUUUCUCCAUUUAAAGAGAUGAUCAGAUAACUUUUUUCCUUCAAUAUAUUAACAUGCUAAACUCUAUUAGUAAAUUUCCCAAUGCUAAA